rnacentral:rRNA from 1 species
GACGAACGCUGGCGGCGUGCUUAACACAUGCAAGUCGAACGGAAAGGCCCUGCUUUUGUGGGGUGCUCGAGUGGCGAACGGGUGAGUAACACGUGAGUAACCUGCCCUUGACUUUGGGAUAACUUCAGGAAACUGGGGCUAAUACCGGAUAGGAGCUCCUGCUGCAUGGUGGGGGUUGGAAAGUUUCGGCGGUUGGGGAUGGACUCGCGGCUUAUCAGCUUGUUGGUGGGGUAGUGGCUUACCAAGGCUUUGACGGGUAGCCGGCCUGAGAGGGUGACCGGCGACCUUGGGACUGAGAUACGGCACAGACUCCUACGGGAGGCAGCAGUGGGGAAUAUUGCCCAAUGGGCGGCAGCCUGGUGCAGCAACGCCGCGUGCGGGAUGACGGCCUUAGGGUUGUAAACCGCUUUCGCCUGUGACGAAGCGUGAGUGACGGUAAUGGGUAAAGAAGCACCGGCUAACUACGUG